UACGUAGGCAGCAAGCGUUGUUCGGAGUUACUGGGCGUAAAGAGUGCGUAGGCGGUUUUCUAAGUUCGGUGUGAAAUCUCCCGGCUUAACUGGGAGGGUGCGCCGAAGACUGGGGAGCUGGAGUGUGGGAAAGGCAGGCGGAAUUCCUGGUGUAGCGGUGAAAUGCGUAGAUAUCAGGAGGAACACCGGCGGUGUAGACGGCUUGCUAGACCAUAACUGACGCUGAGGCACGAAAGCGUGGGUAGCAAAC
rnacentral:rRNA from 1 species